GUCCUCUCACUAUGGCACCUGGAGAGUUUCCAAUACUCUACCGGUCUCGGCUACGGGAGGGAAAGUCAAACAGAGGCAUACCCAUUCCACUCCCAGCUUGGUCAGUGGCUAGCAAGUGGAAGGCCAUCUGCUACAAGU